rnacentral:tRNA from 1 species
AACAUGAGUAAAGGGUAAAAUGGCUGAGUUAGGCAUUAGACUGUAAAUCUAAGAACAGAGGUUUAGCCUCUUUUUACC